GAUGAACGCUGGCGGUAUGCUUAACACAUGCAAGUCGAACGGUCACUUCGGUGAUAGUGGCGGACGGGUGAGUAACGCGUGAGAAUCUGUCUUCAGGUCGGGGACAACAGUUAGAAAUGACUGCUAAUACCGGAUGUGCCUUUGGGUGAAAGAUUUAUUGCCUGAAAAAGAGCUCGCGUCAGAUUAGCUAGUAGGUGGUGUAAGAGACUACCUAGGCUCCGAUCUGUAGCUGGUCUGAGAGGACGAUCAGCCACACUGGAACUGAGACACGGUCCAGACUCCUACGGGAGGGAGCAGUGGGGAAUUUUCCGCAAUGGGCGAAAGCCUGACGGAGCAAUACCGCGUGAGGGACGAAGGCUUUUGGGUCGUAAACCUCUUUUCUCAAGGAAGAUGAUGACGGUACUUGAGGAAUAAGCAUCGGCUAACUCUGUGC
rnacentral:rRNA from 1 species